GCCUAAAACCAUAGCGUUGUGCAUCUCCCCACUCAUCUCUGUUGUGCAUCUCCCCACUCAUCUCUGCUCCCUACUCAUCUCUGUACGUAUAUUUCAGUGCUCCCUACUGAUCUCUGAUGUAUUGAGUGGCGUUGAAGAAAACGGGGUUUAGUGGUUAGGAAAUUGAAGACUACACCCAGGAUUUGUAUGUGUGAAUUCUUCCAAAACCUACGCAUUUUUCUGAUUUGUAUUGGACCGUCGUAAACAAUCAGCGUAUUCGUUAAGGACUUCAAGUAUACAGGAAUUCGUUCUUUCGGCAGAUGAUCCAUGAUCAUAUGAGAACAUACGGUUCAUUGCAAAAGCAUGUUUUUUUGCACAAAAAAGAUAUUAAGGGGGUAUAUACACCUGGCAGGGUCCAAAAAAUCAAUUUUUCAAUUUUUACAUUUUCUCCAAGUGUUAUAUGUUAAGAAUGUCUGGUGAGAAAUUUAAGUAAAAAUUCCAAAAAAUGACAAAGUUAUAGCCCAAAUAGUACAUGCGUUCGUAGGACCGGCGCCGCGCCGUGUCGGGUCAUACAGGUAGUACGGCGCCGUCCAUUCGGUCUUAUUGUGCCUAUUGUGUUUUUUUUUUGUAUAUCAGUAUUUUAUUGGUCCUGCAUAGCCUGUCUGGGUUGACUACUUUAAACAUAACGGUUAUCCUGACAGAAAUUUUGCGUGCUUCGUCAGUAGCUUUCCGUCCGUGUAGCUGUGCCAUAGAGCAAGUAUCGAAGCCUUCAUUUGUGAAUAAAAGUAUACAGGAGUAAAGGUGGAAAGAAGUAAAGGUUCUCGAGAAAGUCACAAAUCGAGUGAAUUGCAGAGGGUCGCAAAAAAAAAAAGAAAAUGGCGCCUAAAAAUCGAUACGACGCAAAAAGAACGGAAUCGAAUGUUAGUACCAGUGCCAAAAAAUUGAAGACUACACGAGAUGUUCCAGUGCCAGAAGACCUAGGUAGACGAUAUGGGCGUACCUUCCACUUCGGAGAACCUAUAUUAUGGACCUGGUAUUGAUGACUUUGUAUGAUUUGGACGAAACGCCAGUGGAUACCGAAAUGGCCGAUUUUUUUACGACAGUCCGUAGACGACAUCACUACUCCGUCAAUUUGCAACAUUUUUAAAUAAAAAAAAAAUUAAAAACGUU